UACGAAGGGGGCUAGCGUUGCUCGGAAUCACUGGGCGUAAAGGGUGCGUAGGCGGGUCUUUAAGUCAGGGGUGAAAUCCUGGAGCUCAACUCCAGAACUGCCUUUGAUACUGAAGAUUUUGAGUCCGGGAGAGGUGAGUGGAACUGCGAGUGUAGAGGUGAAAUUCGUAGAUAUUCGCAAGAACACCAGUGGCGAAGGCGGCUCACUGGCCCGGUACUGACGCUGAGGCACGAAAGCGUGGGGAGCAAACAGG
rnacentral:rRNA from 1 species